rnacentral:rRNA from 1 species
CACGUAAUUAGCCGGACCUUAUUCGUAUAGUACUGUCAUUUUCUUCCUAUACAAAAGAUUUUUACAACCCGAAGGCCUUCUAAAUCACGCGGCGUCGCUGCAUCAGGGUUCCCCCAUUGUGCAAAAUUCCCCACUGCUGCCUCCCGUAGGAGUCUGGGCCGUGUCUCAGUCCCAAUGUGGCCGUACACUCUCUCAAGCCGGCUACUGAUCGUUGCCUUGGUGGGCUUUUUCUCACCAACUAGCUAAUCAGACGCAAGUCCAUCUUACACUGCUAACACUUUGACUAUCGCUUCAUGCGAAGUGAUAGUUUCAUAGGGUAUUAUUCGUCGUUUCCAACGGCUAUCCCCUUGUGUAAGGCAGGUUACUCACGCGUUACUCACCCGUCCGCCACUAAUCCAAUUAUUUUCAUUCCGAAGAGUCUAAUAAUCUUCAUCGUUCGACUUGCUAUGUGUUAUGCACGCCGCCAGCGUUAAUCCUGAGCCAGGAUACAAACUCU